rnacentral:rRNA from 1 species
UACGUAGGGGGCAAGCGUUGUCCGGAUUUAUUGGGCGUAAAGCGCACGUAGGCGGUCUGCCAAGUUCGGUGUGACAGUUUCCAGCUUAACUGGAAAAGGUCUUCGAAAACUGGUGGGCUUGAGGACUUGAGGGGGUGACGGAAUUCCUGGUGUAGCGGUGAAAUGCGCAGAUAUCAGGAGGAACACCGAUGGCGAAGGCAGGUCUCUGGGCCAUAACUGACGCUGAGAAGCGAAAGCAUGGGGAGCGAACAGG